rnacentral:rRNA from 1 species
UAAUGACUUACAACUUUCAGCGGUGGAUGUCUAGGUUCCCACAACGAUGAAGAACGCAGCGAAAUGCGAUACGUAAUGCGAAUUGCAAGACCUCGUGAAUCAUUAAGAUUUUGAACGCACAUUGCGCUUUCGGGAUUUUCCCGGUAGCAUGCUUGUUUGAGUGUCUGUGGAU